AACUUUUGACAAUGGAUCUCUUGGCUCUGGCAUCGAUGAAGAACGCAGCGAAAUGCGAUAAGUAAUGCGAAUUGCAGAAUUCAAGUGAGUCAUCGAAUCUUUGAACGCACAUUGCGCCCUUUGGAAUUCCGAAGGGCAUGCCUGUUCGAGCGUCAUUAUCAACCAUCAUGCCUGGCUUGUCGUUGGACCCCCUCUUCGCUGUGUCGUCUCACGGCGAGGUCCGAAAGAUAAUGGCGGUGUCGCGUUGACCCCACGUACAAUGAGCUUCACGGCACGUACGGCGGCGGUGUAACCGGCCCCGGUCUCCCUUCUAUAUCUCCAAAAAGUUGACCUCGGAUCAGGUAGGAAUACCCGCUGAACUUAAGCAUAUCAAUAAGCGGAGGCU
rnacentral:misc_RNA from 1 species